AGAAGAGAACGUUUUCCUGUUUCAUUUAGCUCUGUUGGGUUAUGUCAUGAAACUAUGAAAUAAUCCAGGGGUUGGUGAUUAAAGCAAGCGGAACGCUAUGUGCAAUGCCCUGUUGUGUUUCUCCCAUAUAUGUGCCUUCAUGAAAGUGUAACUUAAAGUUUAGUUGUGGCGAAAAUGUACUUGACAGUGUGUGUGUGUGUGUGUGUGUUAAGAAUAUUGAUGGAUUAUUUUGCCGAAAUGUAGCAAGGUGUACAUUAACUGAAAUGGAUUUAAUGUUUGACACUUACUUGAAAGUAAACUUUAAUAAUUAUGCAGAUGCUGAUAAUUUUAGGGGGAAUGCUGCAAACCCAGGUGCAUUUUGAUUUAUUUUCCUGUCGGAGAAAGCAUUACGUUUCAGCUUGUAUUACUCAAACUUUAAAUACAACUUUAAAUAUUCUUGCAUUUUAAAUAAACUUUAUUAUAUUUAGUAAUAGUUAAUUUAGUUUAUAUCUUAGUAAUAAAUACUAAGCAAGCUUCAUUUUCCAUAGAUAUUUUGAUAUAGAUUUGAUAAUGUUUCUUGUGUUGUAUAAAAUGUUUUCUUUGUCUCCACUCCUAAAUUACUCCAGUUAAUAAAGCAACAGCUACAUAAAACAGGUCAGGAUUUUGGUCUUCAAACUGGGAGAAAGAAAUAGUUUUAGAACAAAUUGUAGCUGCAAUUGCUCUUUAAAAUCGAUGCCUUAAAAAUGAUUUGAAUUUUUAUGAAUGGUUCCAUAAUUUUGGAUUUCUUGUGAUUACAAGUAAUUUUUUUAUUAAGUAAACUUUAUUUUAGAAUGUCAGUUAUAUACUUCAGUUUUCAUCUUGCCUAAUAGACAAUUAGAAAAUAUGCAAAUAUAUGUAACUUAAAACUCUGGAAAUCUGUCUACGGAUAUUUUCUAUGAAAAGAUAUAACGUUUCUACACGUUUAAUUGAUUUCUUAAUUACAAAUUGUUUGACCAUCAGGUUCUGAUAUUAGAAAUUGUGGAAGUUGGCAUUAUUAUGAAUAAUCUGCAUUUUACAAAUCAAAAACAAUGCCCUUGAACUCUUCAUGAUUUUAGUGAUUGUUUCUAAAGUUCAUUUGUCACUUACCACCCUUGGCAGUACUGCGCUUGAGAGAAAUUACUAUUUACUGUUGCGUUCUGAUUAAUUGGAGGUUAUUUUCUGACAUUUUUAGUUCUGUAAAUUCAGUUAAAAUAAUUGCCAAGAUGUCCCUGUACUUUUAUCUAUUAGAGCUAUAUAUUUGGAUCGUUAUGUGUUUCUGUAGAAGGUAUCAGCGCCAUUUAAGUGUGAAUGAGAAGCAUUUUAAUUAAACCCCUUGUGGAAAAUUAUUCUGCUGAAACAAUUGGUCAUGCCAGUGAAUGCAAGGUUGAAGGAAUUACAGACAUAUUUAAAAUCAUAACAGAAAGUUCCAUUUAAUUAUAAUUAUCCAGAAACUAAUUAUUCAUGGUUCCCCGCACUUGCAGUAGUUUGCAGCAUUGCAUCAGCAGCAUGUGUCAAUAUAUUUUCAGAGUCUUGUUGCCUUCCUGGCUUUAUGCUUAUUUCGGUUUUAAAAUCAAGUACUAAAGAUUGCAUAUAAUUUUUGACUGACACAAUAUACUAAAGUCGUUGAUGUUCACUUUGUAACCUACUAAUUUGAAUUCUAAUAGCAUUUUUAAUUUCAAGGAUAUUGACUUCGUUCCUCACACGAGUCAUUUAGUUGCACGUAUCUGUUAAAGAUAUUUAAUAAACAGCCGAUAAGAACUUUGAGGCUUAUCAAAAUUGUGUGUGACACAAUUUAUUCUGGUUACAUUUCCUUGCAGUUGUUUAUAAGUUUGGCGAGGAAGGACAAAUAAUAUUUAUGUAUGAAUCCCUGCAUUUAUUAGGCAUUAAAUGGCGCCAUGCACUAAAUAAACUCGGAGGCUGCCAGGUUAUGCCCUUUAUUAGAGGAUAGGAGCUGAAUAUUCCAGGGAAUGCUUGGGUUUAAUAUUAUAGCUUAAUAUUGAAGGUUGAUUCAGAGAAUUUCCCAAUAAAAUGUACCUUCACCAAAAGUAGGCCAUGCGCACCUCGUGGAAAAUUGCACAACAUGUUGCAAUUCCAUUUCUAGGAAAAUAUUUUGCAAGCAGUUAAUGUGUUAUACCAGAACAUAUCUUUGCAAUUGGAGCCUAUUUAGUCACAGCGUUCAAAUUUAUGUAAAGCCACCAAGUGUAUCUGACCUAUUAAGUGUAUAACAGUGCUACAGUUUCUGUUUUGGUUGACUUAUAAUAAUAGUUGGAACUAUUAUUUUCUUUUUUGACUUUUGUUAUUUCGUGUGUAAUUCUUUAACUUGGCCAGUAGUUCUGGUAUUUUGCGUUGAAGACUUUAAAAAAAUUCAACACUCACGCUCAAAUAGUUUCCCAAGUUAGAGAAGUACACAUUCUCAGCUCUUAUGAGUAAGUUAUCAUAUAUGGUAGAAAAUUAAACAUUCAAAAUCCCCUAACUAGAAAAUGCUUUUAUAAGUUAUUUCUUGUGCUACCUUUAUUUUUCUUUCUUCCCAUUUUGUCUAUACAUGGACUCUACCUGUAUUAAAUAUCUGCUAACUUUUUGGUUUGCUACAUUAACGCCUUAAUUUUCAUUUUGUCCUCACUACUUACCAUCAGUAUCGGGGGUGGAACUUAAUAUCCUGCAGAAUUGCCCCUUGACUGAUCAGUCAUCGUUGAACCAUCUCCAAUGACCAAUUGCUCAGCCCGUUAAACCCCAGAAUUGGGACAAAAGGCUGGAAUUGUAUUUUGAGACACCCAGUCAAUUUUGAAAUAUAGCUUCAUUUUUUCUGGUCAAAGUGAAAUAAGUCCUCAUUAGCACAAAUAUAUCGACGAGGGAUUCGUAUAUUUUAUAUAUAUUCAGUAUAUUUUUAACAACAUUUUCAACAACUCUGGCAUUGUUGACUUGUGUAAACUCCAAAAUAAUUGAAUAAUAUUUUAGGAGCUAAUUAUCCAUAAAUUAACUUUGUCUCGACUUUCAGAAUGUUCAAUGCUUAACCGCUUGUUAGCAAAGGUGAGAAAUAUAUCUCUCCAUUACUCAUCUCUUGAUGUGCUCAACAAUUCUGGAGUGCUAAACAAAACAAUAAAUAAACAAAACAAGCCCACAAUCUUAUUUCGGCUGAUCGAAGAACUGGCCUCCAAUGGUCAAAUAUACAUUGAGCUGUGUGCCACUAGAUUUUAUUUUGGAACGAAAAAAAAUAAUAGUUAUGAUGUAUUCAUUUUAAUUUUAAAACACUAAAUAAAUGAUUUAAUUGUUUCUACAUUCUUAAAGAAAUAAAAUGUUUAAACUUCUAUCUUUUAAAUGUUAUACUUUGAGAAUUCAAUGUUUCUUUAUCUUAAUAUGAAAAGAUCAUUUCAUAACAGCUUUAUCAUAAUUCUGAAGAUUAAUAUUAUUUCAGGUAUAUAUUUCGUUAGUGUUUUGUAGCCCAUAUUGUAACUCAGACAAAGCCCCAUUCACCCCUCUCUCUUGAGCUUUAAUGAUAGCUCUUGGCACGGCAAAACACUUUUGAUUUUAAAAUGUUAACAUGUUAAUGCCCUUUCACUGAACCAUUAUUAUAUGCUGCAACCCCAGAUCUCCGACUCAAUUAGAUGAUCCCUAAUUUUCUUUGACUCAACUUUGGCUCCCACACUUUCAGGUUUAUUCAGGCAAGCAUCUGGAAUUCCUGCCCUAAGCAUCACCACCUCUCUACUUUUGUUCUCUUUUAGACAUUCCUUAAUCUGCCUCUAUGUCUUAACGUUCGGUCAUCUGUACUGUCAUCCCCAAGAUUUCCAUUUGUUUGCUCCUGUGAAACACCUUGGGAUGUGCUUUAAAUUAGUGCAUUAAAAAUGCCAUGUUCCUCUCACUGUUGUAUAUUUACAGGACACUUAUAAAGCAUAAUGCUGCAUGAAACGACAGAUGAUUUCUAGCUUAACGAUAAUAAAUUACAAGUGGGUCUGAAUUUCAGAGGUGGAGUUCAUUAGGCAAAAUGACUACAUUGCGUGUUUAGUGCAUGCGUUGGAAGAGAAGUUCCACCCCAUGCGUUAACCUUACACAGCUGACCACAUAUUCAGCAGCAGGACAGGUCUCCUCCUGCGCCAUUAAAAGGGAUCAUCAAUUACUUGCAGGAGGACCAAAGUUGUGCGAAUGAAAGUCAAAGAAGCCAUUAUGAGACUGAGAAACAAGAAUAAAACUGUUAGAGACAUCAGCCAAACCUUAAGCUUACCAAAAUCAACCGUUUGAAACAUAAUUAAGAAGAAAGAGAGCACUGGUGAGCUUACUAAUCGCAAAGGGACUGGCAGGCCAAGGAAGACCUCCACAGCUGAUGACAGAAGAAUUCUCUCUAUAAUAAAGAAAAAUUCCCAAACACCUGCCGACAGAUCAGAAACACUCUUCAGGAAUCAGGUGUGGAUUUGUCAAUGACCACUGUCCGCAGAAGACUUCAUGAACAUAAAUACAGAGGCUACACUGCAAGAUGCAAACCACUGGUUAGCUGCAAAAAUAGGAUGGCCGGGUUACAGUUUGCCAUGAAGUACUUAAAAGAGAAACCACAGUUCUGUAAAAAAAAGGUUUUGUGGACAGAUGAGAUGAAGAUUAAAAUAUCAGAGUAAUGGGAAGAGCAAAGUAUGGAGGAGAGAAGGAACUGCUUCAAAGCAUACCACCUCAUCUGUGAAACAUGGUGUUGGGGGUGUUAUGGCCUGGGCAUGUAUGGCUGCUGAAGGUACUGGCUCACUUAUCUUCAUUGAUGAUACAACUGCUGAUGGUAGUAGUAUAAUGAAUUCUGAAGUAUAUAAACACAUCCUAUCUGCUCAAAUUCAAACAAAUGCCUCAAAACUCAUUAACAAAACUCAGGCAGUUCAUUCUACAGCAAAACAAUGAUCCCAAACAUACUGCUAAAGCAACAAAGGAGAUUUUCAAAGCUAAAAAAUGGCCAAUUUCUGAGUGGCCAAGUCAAUCACCAGAUCUGAACCCAAUUGAGCAUGCCUUUUAUAUGCUGAAGAGAGAACUGAAGGGGUCUAACCCCCAAAAACAAGCAUAAUCUAAAGAUGUCUGCAAAACAGGCCGGGCAGAGCAUCACCGGAGAAGACACCCAGCAACUGGUGAUUUCCAUGAAUUGCAGACUUCAAGCAUUCUUUGCAUUCAAAGGAUAUGCAACAAUAUACUAAACAUGACUACUUUCAUUUACAUUACAUUGUUGUGUCCCGAACAUUAUGGUGCUCUGAAAUGGGGGGACUGUAUAAACACAACUAUAAUUUCUACAUGGUGAAACCAAAAUGUAUAAAAAUGGCGUUUAUUAAAAUCUGACAAUGUGCACU